GUUUGAUCCUGGCUCAAAAUCAACGCUGGCGGCGUGCCUAACACAUGCAAGUCAAACGCGAAGGGGGCUUCCGCCCUGAGUAGAGUGGCGAACGGGUGAGUAACGCGUGGGUGAUCUACCUUCGAGUGGGGGAUAACGUCUCGAAAGGGACGCUAAUACCGCAUGACCUCCUGCCUUUGGACAGGCGGACAUCAAAGCCGGGGAUCCGCAAGGACCUGGUGCUUGAAAAGGACCCCGCGUCCUAUUAGCUAGUUGGUGAGGUAAUGGCUCACCAAGGCGACGAUCGGUAGCCGGCCUGAGAGGGCGGACGGCCACACUGGGACUGACACACCGCCCACACUCCUACGGGAGGCAGCAGUGGGGAAUUGUUCGCAAUGGGCGCAAGCCUGACCACCCACCGCCGCGUGGAAGAUGAAUAUUUUCGGAUCGUAAACUCCUGUCGAGCGGGACAAACACCAUGAGGGUGAAUAUCCUUUGUGGCUGACGGUACCGCUAAAGGACCCCCCGGCUAACUCCGUGCCAGCAGCCGCGGUAAUACGGGGGGGGCAAGCGUUGUUCUUAAUUACUGGGCGUAAAGGGCUCGUAGGCGGCCAACUAAGUCAGACGUGACCUCCCUCUGCUUAACCGGGGAACUGCGUCUGAUACUGGAUGGCUUGAAUCCGGGAGAGGGAUGCAUAAUUCCAUGUGUAGCGGUGAAAUGCAUA
rnacentral:rRNA from 1 species